rnacentral:rRNA from 1 species
UACGUAGGGUGCGAGCGUUGUCCGGAAUUACUGGGCGUAAAGAGCUCGUAGGCGGUUUGUCGCGUCUGCUGUGAAAACUCGGGGCUUAACUCCGGGCCUGCAGUGGGUACGGGCAGACUAGAGUGCGGUAGGGGAGACUGGAAUUCCUGGUGUAGCGGUGAAAUGCGUAGAUAUCGAGAGGAACACCUGCGGCGAAGGCGGGUUGCUGGGCUGACACUGACGCUGAGGCGCGAAAGCCAGGGGAGCGAACGGG